rnacentral:rRNA from 1 species
AUUGAACGCUGGCGGCAGGCCUAACACAUGCAAGUCGAGCGGAUGACGGGAGCUUGCUCCUUGAUUCAGCGGCGGACGGGUGAGUAAUGCCUAGGAAUCUGCCUGGUAGUGGGGGACAACGUUUCGAAAGGAACGCUAAUACCGCAUACGUCCUACGGGAGAAAGCAGGGGACCUUCGGGCCUUGCGCUAUCAGAUGAGCCUAGGUCGGAUUAGCUAGUAGGUGGGGUAAUGGCUCACCUAGGCGACGAUCCGUAACUGUUGUGAGAGGAUGAUCCGCCACACUGGAACUAAGACACGGGCCAGGCUCCUGCGGGAGGCAGCAGUGGGGAAUAUUGGAAAAUGGGCGAAAGCCUAAUCCAGCCAUGCCGCGUGUGUGAAGAAGGUCUUCGGAUUGUAGAGCACUUCAAGUUGGGAGGAAGGGCAGUAAGUUAAUACCUUGAUGUUUUGACGUUACCGACAGAAUAAGCACCGGCUAACUCUGUGCCAGCCGCCGCGGUAA